AAGGCCUUAACUUAAUUAAAGUGUUUGAGUUGCAUUCAAGUGAUGUGGGAUAAAAUCUUACAGGUCUUA
rnacentral:tRNA from 1 species